GCGCUCAAGGUCACGUUCUACAAACACCUGCUUGUUCUCAGAUAACACCUGCUCCGAGGCACGAACAAAACAGCUUCACCAGCUGACCUCAGAUCCUUUUACUCUGCCUGUACUUCCUACGUAACCAGGGGGAAGAAAACGUGCCUCGGGACUACCCACGGGGAGCACGAGCCCUCAGGAAAUCACUGCCACGCCAAGCAGCUUAUAUGCAUCGCACCGAGACCACUAGCAUCCAGUGACCAGGGAAGUUCAAGCAGUCUGAGAACGGGGAUGCCAUUGCAGCUGCCGGCAGGCACCACCCGCAGCUCUUCCCAUUCUCUCCCCCUCCAUCCUGAAAACAUGCCCACAGAAAACCGAUGUUUCACAAGUCCCUCCUUUUAGUUUCUGCUGUUUACUCUUUUUAUAUAACGCUUUUGUUUCCUUUCCCUGUGUUUCCAAGGUUCAGUUGUCUUGAUCUCUCAUCAACCCUCCAUUCAACCUCCAAUACUAUUUGUUUAAAAAUAUCUUCCGAGGUCAAGUUGUGUUUCUAAGGUGCAAGCUUCACUCUCUGAAGCAGAAGGGACAGAGGGCUCGAUGAGCCAUCCCCUUCAAUAAAAGCCAAAGCAGAGGAGAUCUACUGAGCACACAGGAACAAAGACCCAGCCGUAAACAGGGGCGCUAAUUAACGCAGCAUUCCCCAAUUCUGAUGUCAGGCUAAGCAGAGGUGCCCGGUGUGGCCCCCAGCAGAGCAGCGGUGCCGGGUGCAGUGAAAGCCUGCCUUAAUUGCAAAUGCAACCGUCAACUUUCCGGCCAGUGCUUUAGUACUCCCAAAGGAAAAUAAACAAAAGUGCUCCUGGAGGCUUACAGAUGCUGUCGAGAGGCUAAGAGAAUUUCACUCUCUCCCCUUGCAAGUUUGGAUUUAAACUUCAGUCCCUGUCAGCAGCGCCUGCAUCGGUUGAAACCAGCUGGAUUAAAGCUUUCUGAUGUUCUUCUUGAGGCGCUGGUUAAGUUUUGAAGAGCUGCAGAAGCUAUGUGACAGGGUCUCCAUCAGUUUGACAAUAAUUCCUAUGGAGUUUCUGGUGUUUAAGGUAAUAUGCAGCUCAUAAAGAAGGGCAAAAUUAAUGCCUUUGAAGGGAAAAUUUAUGCAGUGUAAGAGCAAGGCAAGGGUAUUAACAGAGCAAAAUACCCUGGGCCAUCCUAGUAAAGUCUCGCUUUUGGCCUGCUGGAAAUUUUUUCUAGUCACCACACUCUCCAUCCCCAUUUAGCUAAAUCCCCAACUUCUCUGUCAGGACUGCAGUUGUUCAGCGCCAACUCAUGCUAGCUAUUUUGAGGUUUUUCUAAUGUGGGAAAGCGAUCUCAGAGUGAUCUCAAAGAAGCCUCAAAAAAAAAAAUUCAUUUGAUCAUACUGACUUCAGACACAGAGACCCCUUUUAAUCCUGUUUCUGGUCCUCAGACCAGAACUCUGCCUUCUAUUUUGCAGCGUUUCAACCAAAACAGCAAAAAGCAAAUGCUAGGACUUGUAAUCCCGCAUUUUGCCUGUGCUCAGCUUGUACCACCCAUACGGUCAUGUUGUCCUAGCCCACCGAAGGCAGAGCAUUUCAUUUGAUUCACUAGAGCAGCUAAACUGGGCUGCCUCCCUCUGCAUGCCAGCGGGAGCGAUCGCCAUGCAAAAAGUCUCCAAUUCGGAACACAAGCAUCCAGCUACUCCGCAAUGUUCAAACGGCUGGUGCAUAUUUUAGGGAGAGAGCUCUCCAUCCUGGGCGAGUCAUGUCUAAUGUUUUGAGGAGGAUGAGAGGAACGGGUCAAGUAGCAAACAAUAAAAGAAUGAAACUUUAAAAAAUAUCCAGCCCUAAAGGCCUGAGCCUUUCUGAUAUCUCUCCCCUUCAAGGGAGAUUGCCAUCUUUCAUGUUCCAACUGAACCCCACAGCUGAUAACUGCUGCAAAACAAAUGGUGACAAGCAAGUAUAUAGGAAACAGCAGCAAGGCAUUCGAGUGAUCUGUGGACGGCAGCAAGAGAGGAGUGCUGUCUCUAACAGCAUGGUGGGAGACAGGGCUUGUAAUCCAUUACCGUUGUCCUUGCCAUUUUCCUGCAUGAGCAGGUAGAAAAAGCUGCCCACGCCACCACCCCAGCCCUCCUGCAAGCGAUACAGGGGUGCAAGCUCGAGCCAGGUGCCUGAACACAAGCAGCACGUGAGCAUGUCCGGAUGAGGACGACAAGCGAAGCUUCAUCGCCGGCCUGCGCCAGGCCGGGUAGCGCUAAUCACAGCUCCAAAGCUGCACACGCCACGCUUUUCACCCGCUGUCCUUCAUUUCACGCAGCCAAGCUGUUUCCACCGUUCGAUCUACUGGCCGUUUCGCUAGGACAGCCUCAGUAGAGAGCUUGCACUGAGGCUGCCAAAGGUAAGUCUUCAAAACACCUAUGCAGAUAAAUAACAUAGUGAGCUCAGUUUCUUUGCUUCCCAGCUUCUUUCCCCUUCCCUCCAAAGGAAACAAAAUUUAGCGUGAUAAAUGGCCAUCUUAAAUCCAUGUAAUCAUUUUAACUCAAUGAAACAAGAUUUGCCUGAGUUACUUGAGGCUCUAAACUUUAAACCGAGAGGCAGAGGCAGCCCAAGCAGUUAAUAGAAUCACCUGGCAGAGCUCAGCACAUGUGAAAUCAGGCUUACCAAAAGGAGCAAGAGCAGAUGAUAUCUUGCCCUUUGAUACUGGCUUUCUGAGCAACCUGCCCUGAGGAUGCCUUCAAGAUACCUCUAAAUAAAUACCGUCGAUAUAUGCAUUGAAUAUGUCAUCCGUAAAACCCAGAAAGCAAAGGAGUGCAGGACAAAAGGUGGGGAGAGCUCACAAUAAAAAAAAAAAACAACCUGCGAGAGUUCAUGCUUGUUAGAGCAGGUUAGACCCUCCUCGGUGUGCUUAACCCGAGAUAGCCGGGCUGAUUUCAGCAAGGAGCUGAGCAUCUGACCUCGUGCAGUGAUUUACUGCUAGCAUCAGUUUUACACACCCAGCAAGUAUGGUGGGUCCCAGGUUUCUCCAUCAGCAUCUUGUCUCCAAGGCAAAAUGGAGUCUUUUGGAAACAUAAAUGAAUAAAUAGGUCUGCAUUUCCUCAUUUGGAAGGAUUCAAUGCAACUCUAUGCCUGUAUGCAAACAGAAAUCACAAACUGUCCACUUCUUUUCCAAGCAUAAAAAAACCUAGCUGAACCAGUAUGCCUUUUCCAUAUUUAAUAAUUUGAUUUUGAAGGCUAGUCAUAUCAAAGAGCAAAAUAUUCAAUAUUGUUAAUUCAGUUUUGCAAAAUAUAUUCUUAAUUUAAAAAUGAUUUUGCUCGGAGUGGUAGUGUAGUAAUAAAGCAGGUAUUGACCAGAUCUUAUUGAUUGUGCAGUCCUCGGGCAAGGAACACUGACCUUGCUCACACUCUUAUUGCUUACGCUUUCCCUGGCCUUCUUCAUCUAUGCCCGCUCAAUAAUAUAUUAUUAAUAUAUAUUUUUAGCAAAAACUGUAUGUUACAAGGUUAGGGCUUCUCAGUGAUUUUUUUUUUCGUGCUGCUCUGCCUUUGGGGCUCUUCAGGGAAGAGGAGAUUGUACAGCCAAGUUGCUUCUGGGUUGCUGUUCACAAACACCUUUAAACAAAGUUACUUUGCCUGAUCUGAUAGAGGCCAGACACACUUUUUCCUUCUCUUUUUAAUUGAAAGAUUGUUCACUCGUCAGUCCCUUGUGGGACCAAAAUUCACGGAGUAAAUAUAGUCAAGGGAAGAGCUAUACCUCAGGUACUUAGGAGAGAAAGAUAACAUAUAUUUCCGAUGAGAUCGAGAGUUAAUAAUGCAAUUUAAAUGUUGAUCAUCCUUUGGAGAUAAUUAAAACCGAUUAUAGGGCGGGGGCAGCGCAGCCUCCCGCCGGCACGGUGCCCGGACGGGGCUGCCCUCGCAGUGGUGGCACCAGGAGGCCAUCGCUGAGCCGGCCAGGACCCGCAUCCUGGCUCCAGCACCCUCGUUUGGCAGUACUGUGCUCUCCGGUGACGCAGGGGGAUCUAAAAAAGACGCAGCUGGCGUCCGGACAGGAGACUGUGGUGGGGCUGGGAGCGACGGGCUUCCCCCGCCGCAAGACUCGGGCCAGGUCCGACCGCCGCGGUUUGGAUUCGGGCCGCCGUCUUUCCGCUGCGGCAGAAAAUCUAAAUGAUGCCCUGAUCCAGUUUUGUUCGCAGGAUUUUAUCUGCUAUUGACUGGCUUUUAUUAGGCUCUAGAAAAACAAACCUAAAGCAAAAUAUAAAGUCAACAGAAUGAGCAAAAUCAGAUACGGACUUGCAUAGGAAAGGUAAUAGGGCAGAAAGCUACAAACAGGGCUGCCUCUUUGAGGAAUAAAUGUAAUAAAGUGUUUGCCGAUCUGGGUCUUUAAUAGACAGUUAAACUCAGAUCCUUUGGCUAGUUAAUUCUGUAAACCACCUAUUUUCCUCGUGCAUUAACGAAAGUUAUCUGGAAAGAAAAAAAAUGAAAAAAAGGCUCUGCAAUCUACCUGUGGGAUGCAUUGCGUGUUAUUGCAGAGCCGACAAAGUGUACUGGUAUUUGCAUGUAUAGCUUGUAACUGGAAGCAGAAUGUUCAAUGAUACUUUUGCAUGAAUGACACUAUGAAAAAAAAUAAAUUGUAUCGCAUUGUAUUACCAGCCAUUGAGGGCUCUUUUGUUUAGUUUGAUAAUAUUACAUGUUUAAUAAAACACUGUUGAAUUUUGA